CGGGACGUAGCUUAGCCUGGUAGAGCGCUACAUUCGGGUUGUAGAGGUCGAGAGUUCGAAUCUCUCCGUCCCGACCA
rnacentral:tRNA from 2 species